GCCCCGCCCCCCGCGGGUGGUGCUGCCGUGGUGCCCCGCGUGCCGUGGCGGACGGGGUCUGGGCCUGCAGGCCGGGAGCUGCCCUGAGCCGCGGCGCGGUUCGUGCCGGGGGAGGAAGCUCGCAGCUCCCAACCCGCGGCCCCAUUGCGAUGUGCGGGGAUCCGACCCGCUGCCCCCGCAAUGCAAGGCCGCGCUGGCCUUCCAUUGCAAGCAAGAGGAACAACACCAGUCCGCUCCCUGCAGCCAGGGGAGGGCCGUGCCAGUGCCAGUGGUUUUAUUACAAGCUGCUGACCGAGGAAGCAAGUGUGCCUAGAGGACAAGAAGGAGGCACCGGGUGAGGGCAUGCAGCAGACACACAGUGAGCCAGAGGCACAAAGAACCCUGAGAUGAGACCCCACGGAGCUCAGAGCAGUGAGAAAGGCGAAUUAUGGGCAUCUCCAAAGGAUCAGGUCCUGAGCUCAUAAAUCCCAAUUUCCAGGCAGCCACGAAUCCCCAAAGAAUCCACGGUCGCUUUGGAAAACAUCAGCCAGGCCUCUGGUGUCCCCGGGGUAGAAGAUGGAUCUCAAUAAAGCAGAGCAUCCGACGGC